rnacentral:rRNA from 1 species
UCGGGAAUUUUGGGCAAUGGGCGAAAGCCUGACCCAGCAACGCCGCGUGAAGGAUGAAGUAUUUCGGUAUGUAAACUUCGAAAGAAUAGGAAGAAUAAAUGACGGUACUAUUUAUAAGGUCCGGCUAACUACGUGCCAGCAGCCGCGGUAAUACGUAGGGACCAAGCGUUGUUCGGAUUUACUGGGCGUAAAGUGUGCGCAGGCGGCCGAGCAAGUCGAGUGUGAAAGCCCCGAGCUUAACUUGGGAAUUGCGCUCGAAACUACUUGGCUGGAGUGUGGCAGAGGAGGGUGGAAUUCCACGUGUAGCGGUGAAAUGCGUAGAGAUGUGGAGGAACACCGAUGGCGAAGGCAGCCCUCUGGGCCAACACUGACGCUCAUGCACGAAAGCGUGGGGAGCAAACAGGAUUAGAUACCCCCGUAGUCCCUGAGCGGGCUGGCAAGGCGCAU